GACGUAGGGCGCGAGCGUUGUCCGGAUUUAUUGGGCGUAAAGAGCUCGUAGGCGGCUUGUUGCGUCAGCUGUGAAAACCCGCAGCUCAACUGUGGGCUUGCAGCUGAUACGGGCAGGCUUGAGUUCGGUAGGGGAGACUGGAAUUCCUGGUGUAGCGGUGAAAUGCGCAGAUAUCUGGAGGAACACCGGUGGCGAAGGCGGCAUCCUGGACCGGCAUUGACGCUGAGGCGCGAAAGCCAGGGGAGCAAACGGG
rnacentral:rRNA from 1 species